UGUAAGCAUUAUUGUAGUCACACUUUUUUUCAUGUGUCAAACUUGAACGCAAUGUUGUAAUGUAAGACGACACGUUGUAAAUGGGUUAUAUCAAGGUUGGACACACUAUAUGGCACACAUUGCACAAAUUUCUAAUAUAUAAGGGCAUUAGUGUCAAAGUCCAUGUAUAUGGUUUUAACUUUUAAAUUAAGAUGGUUAACUUAACAAGAUAACACCAAAGGGAUUUUGUCCUAGCGGCAUCAAGGCGUUAGAUUAGGUCUUGUCUUUCCAAGUGGUGAGCGUUCAAUAUCUAUAGUAGACAAAAAAAAAUGUGUCGAUAGUAGAAUUAGAGAGUGUGUGAGUUGCCGUUCUAAAAACAAUUAACAAUAUAUUUAGUUAGAUUGUCUCAUUUCGAUCUCUCUCCUGCACAUGCAACCAAAACUUCAUCUUUCUCUAAAUUUUACCUCCACCAUUGUAAAGGGCGCUAGGACUUUUCCUCUUUUCAAACAAUGAUUGUAGACAUAGGGGCUUGGCUACAUUUUUUGAAGAACGGCGAUUGGAUUGUUACCGAGGGCGAACAUCAAUACAAGCAUGCAGCUUGCUGGAGGAUUCUUGACACUGUGUUUUAACAGCAAGCAGAUUGCUGGAGGAAUCUUGACACUGUGUUUUAACAGCAAGCAGAUUUCUUGAUGCUGUGUUUUAACAGCAAGCAGAUUGCUGGAGGAUUCUUGACACUGUGUUUUAACAGCAAGCAGAUUGCUGGAGGAUUCUUGACACUGUGUUUUAACAGCAAGCAGAUUUCUUGACAUUGUGUUUUAACAACAAGCAGAUUUCCUUGACACUGUGUUUUAACAGCAAGCAGAUUUCUUGACGCUGUGUUUUAACAGCAAGCAGAUUGCUGGAGGAUUCUUGACACUGUGUUUUAACAACAAGCAUAAUAAGAACCCGAUUCAAUGAUAGAUAAAAAAAAUUGAAACAAGUAUGAAAAACAACAACCGAUAGGGAAACAUCACCGGCCGACCAACGAUUCCGACUACUGUUUGAACGACAACCGUCAGCAACAUCAACAACACUGAUCAACUGUCAAACAGAAGGUGUGCCUAAUGAUGUCAUGAUCGGCUUAUACCUCGAAGGAACUGAUAUAUGACCAAUCGGAGAAGAAUAUUUGCAGGAAAUAUGGCUGGUUCUUCUUUGGUUGCUGUUCGGGAGAGAGAGAGAGAGAGAGAGAGAGAGAGAAAGAGGGGAAAUCCCAUGAUUUUAGGGAUUGGUUAUUGAUAUGGCAGUUUCUUGAAUGAUUUAAAACACUUCCAAUUACCAAAAUACCCUCACUAUAUUAAAAGUCUCUAAUUAUAUAACUCAGAUAUAUUAUGAAAAUGCCAUCCAUUU
rnacentral:lncRNA from 1 species